rnacentral:rRNA from 1 species
AUUGAACGCUGGCGGCAUGCCUUACACAUGCAAGUCGAACGGCAGCACGGGUGCUUGCACCUGGUGGCGAGUGGCGAACGGGUGAGUAAUCCAUCGGAACAUGUCCUUUUGUGGGGGAUAGCCCGGCGAAAGCCGGAUUAAUACCGCAUACGAUCUACGGAUGAAAGCGGGGGACUUUCGGGCCUCGCGCUUUAGGGUUGGUCGAUGGCUGAUUAGCUAGUUGGUGGGGUAAAGGCCUACCAAGGCGACGAUCAGUAGCUGGUCUGAGAGGACGACCAGCCACACUGGGACUGAGACACGGCCCAGACUCCUACGGGAGGCAGCAGUGGGGAAUUUUGGACAAUGGGCGAAAGCCUGAUCCAGCAAUGCCGCGUGUGUGAAGAAGGCCUUCGGGUUGUAAAGCACUUUUGUCCGGAAAGAAAUCCUUGGCCCUAAUACGGUCGGGGGAUGACGGUACCGGAAGAAUAAGCACCGGCUAACUACGUG